rnacentral:rRNA from 1 species
AUUGAACGCUGGCGGCAUGCCUUACACAUGCAAGUCGAACGGCAGCACGGGAGCAAUCCUGGUGGCGAGUGGCGAACGGGUGAGUAAUAUAUCGGAACGUGCCCAGUCGUGGGGAUAACUACUCGAAAGAGUAGCUAAUACCGCAUACGAUCUACGGAUGAAAGCGGGGGAUCUUCGGACCUCGCGCGAUUGGAGCGGCCGAUAUCAGAUUAGGUAGUUGGUAGGGUAAAAGCCUACCAAGCCUGCGAUCUGUAGCUGGUCUGAGAGGACGACCAGCCACACUGGAACUGAGACACGGUCCAGACUCCUACGGGAGGAAGCAGUGGGGAAUUUUGGACAAUGGGCGCAAGCCUGAUCCAGCAAUGCCGCGUGCAGGACGAAGGCCUUCGGGUUGUAAACUGCUUUUGUACGGAGCGAAAAGGUCUCUACUAAUACUAGGGGCUCAUGACGGUACCGUAAGAAUAAGCACCGGCUAACUACGUGCCAGCAGCCGCUGUAA